GCAGCACCUGACUGAACGCGCGCCGCCCUCCCAUGUUUCAAAGCUUCAAAGCAACACUUUUGCUCGCAUUUGCUUCUCACAGAAGGCCCGUGAAACUUCUGUUUCGUGGUUGCGCGUCUGCUGCGUCUGCCAUGCCAACAGCAACUUGUAUACAGUCCCUCCCUACGGCAGCUUCUGUCACCACUCCCGUCACGAAGUCGUUAAUCUAAAGCUACGGCAGACAAAGCGCUCGAUAACAACACGCCACAACCAGGCUACGAUAGAGGUA